UUUGAAAUCUGGCCUUCGGGUCCGAGUUGUAAUUUGUAGAGGAUGCUUUUGGUGCGGUACCUUCCGAGUUCCUUGGAACAGGACGCCUUAGAGGGUGAGAGCCCCGUACGGUUGGAUACCAAGCCUCUGUAAAGCUCCUUCGACGAGUCGAGUAGUUUGGGAAUGCUGCUCUAAAUGGGAGGUAAAUUUCUUCUAAAGCUAAAUACCGGCCAGAGACCGAUAGCGCACAAGUAGAGUGAUCGAAAGAUGAAAAGUACUUUGAAAAGAGGGUUAAAUAGCACGUGAAAUUGUUGAAAGGGAAGCGUUUAUGACCAGACCUUUGCCUGGCGGAUCAUCCGGUGUUCUUCACCGGUGCACUUCGCCUGGCUUAGGCCAGCAUCGAUUUUUGUUAGGGGACAAAGACCGCGGGAACGUGGCUCCCUCCGGGGAGUGUUAUAGCCCGCGGUGUAAUACCCUUACGGGGAUCGAGGUUCGCGCUCUGCAAGGAUGCUGGCAUAAUGGUCAUCAACGACCCGUCUUGAAACACGGACCAAGGAGUCGAACAUUUAUGCGAGUGUUUGGGUGUUAAACCCUCACGCGUAAUGAAAGUGAACGGAGGUGAGAGCCCUUUCGGGUGCAUCAUCGACCGAUCCUGAUGUCUUCGGAUGGAUUUGAGUAGGAGCAUAACUGUUCGGACCC
rnacentral:rRNA from 1 species